rnacentral:rRNA from 1 species
GACGAACCGUGCAAACGUUAUUCGGAAUCACUGGGCUUAAAGCGCGUGUAGGCGGGACGGCACGUCGGUCGUUGAAAGCCCCCGGCUCAACCGGGGAAUGGGCGCCGAUACGACCGUCCUGGAGGAACGUAGGGGGACCUGGAACUUCCGGUGGAGCGGUGAAAUGCGCAGAUAUCGGGAGGAACACCAAUGGCGAAGGCAGCUCGCUGGGACGGUACUGACGCUGAGGCGGCGAAAGCGUGGGGAGCAAACAGGG